rnacentral:lncRNA from 1 species
UGCGGAUAACUUGGGUAAUUUGCGUGGAUAACUAGUAGAUAACUAGUAUCUAGAGUUUCUUUUGUUCUUUUUCGCUUCCUACUAGUAUAUCCAUAGGGAAACUUACAUAAAUUUCAACCCUUUAGUACCUAACUACUCCAUAUUCCCACUCUUUUCUAAAUUACAUAAAAUCUCUGAUUUUGUAAUGACCCUCCCGGUU